UACAGAGGGGGCAAGCGUUGUUCGGAAUUACUGGGCGUAAAGGGCGCGUAGGCGGCCUGUUAAGUCGGACGUGAAAUCCCUCGGCUCAACCGGGGAACUGCGUCCGAUACUGGCGGGCUUGAAUUCGGGAGAGGGAUGUGGAAUUCCAGGUGUAGCGGUGAAAUGCGUAGAUAUCUGGAGGAACACCGGUGGCGAAGGCGGCAGCCUGGACCGACAUUGACGCUGAGGCGCGAAAGCCAGGGGAGCAAACGGG
rnacentral:rRNA from 1 species